rnacentral:lncRNA from 1 species
CAACACAAACUUAACAGCAUAUCUUGAACCAACAACUUUAAUUUUUUAAACACUCAUACAGAGACAAACAAUCAGAUCUGAAGCUGAAAUUUCAGUCAAAUAAUAUGCGAAAAAGUGAAAUACAAUUGUUUAAGCGCAAGAAACAAGUCUCGAAAUUCAGUGACAAGCAAACGACGGAAAUAUGAGCUUCAAAAGCAUUUGGUAGGUAGCGAUGAUCCAAACCAAAGAGAAAUUGGAAAACAUAAGCUUCAUUAAAACAUUUCCUCAAUAUAACAGAGGAAAGAAAUCAGAUAUACACAGCUCUUGCUUCUGUAAUCCAACGAGAAAGAACAAUAAAACCUAAGAAAGAACUUUCGACCGGGACUAAAACCUGGAACCUCGAUGAACUCAGAACGACAAACGACAACCUCGAAAGGAUGGUGGUUUUUAGUUGAGCUACGGUGGUGACAGAAUGCUGUGGUCAAGUUGCAAAUGUUUGUGGCUAUGUUUUCCGGCGGGCUGGGUCGUUUGGUUCACUGAAAGUUAACGCCUGAAGCUUGGUGGACGCUGGUCGUUUGGUUGUGACAGUGGUUAUUUUCGCCGGAUUUCCGGCCAGUUACGGUGGGGGAAGGAGCAGCAGCUCUUGAGAGGAGGGAGUUCGUUGGUUGGUUGGUUUUAAUGGAGAAGAAGGUGCAGCUGCCAUUGGUUGUUCGUGUAUAUAGGUGGCGAUGGGUGUUGUCAUGGCUGAUGCUAUCGUGAAGUAGAUGAAGGGGUCAUUGUAUGCUGGCCGGAAAAUGGAGACGCUGGCUGUGCUUUGGAGAUGGAGUCUAGGUUGCUAGGGUUUUUGGUUUUUCAUGGUGAUGAAGGCUGAAAAAGGAGCAGCGUGUAUGUCUCUCCUUUGCACUGUGCGGCUGAAGCUUCUCUAAUGUAGUCUAGCUCAGAUUUUAGGUGGGAAAAAUGGGGCGGGUCCUGGGUGUUGGGUCGGGUCAGGCAGGUUUGGGCUUGGGUUGUUUGAGAAUUGGGUAAAAG